CAGGACGAACGCUGGCGGCGUGCCUAAUACAUGCAAGUCGAACGGUCUUUUCUAUGGAAGCUUGCUUCCACUGAGAAGAUAGUGGCGAACGGGUGAGUAACACGUGGGUAACCUGCCCAUAAGAGGGGGAUAACAUCCGGAAACGGGUGCUAAUACCGCAUAGUUUUCUUGAUCGCAUGAUCGGGAAAGGAAAGACGGCCUUUGUGCUGUCGCUUAUGGAUGGACCCGCGGCGUAUUAGUUAGUUGGUGAGGUAACGGCUCACCAAGACGAUGAUACGUAGCCGACCUGAGAGGGUGAUCGGCCACAUUGGGACUGAGACACGGCCCAAACUCCUACGGGAGGCAGCAGUAGGGAAUCUUCCGCAAUGGACGAAAGUCUGACGGAGCAACGCCGCGUGAGUGAAGAAGGUUUUUCCGGAUCGUAAAACUCUGUUGUCAGAGAAGAACAAGUUGGAGAGUAACUGCUCCAGCCUUGACGGUAUCUGACCAGAAAGCCACGGCUAACUACGUGCCAGCCGCAGC
rnacentral:rRNA from 1 species